UAUUGGUAGUUUGGGGUUUUUAGUGUGGUAGCUCUAUCGUCCCUCCCUUGCGGUUGUAUUUUUUCUUCGUUACCUGCAUCAAAAGCAUGUUAGGAAAUCAAUGGUUAAAAAAUAGAAAGGAAAUAUAAGAGGAUUUGGGCUCAUCGGAAGAGUUUUUAAUUUCAGGUAUGGCGACUCGACCUAGCUCUGCCCUCAAUUGUUUGCUUCUCCUUUGGUCUUUCAGCAUCGAUAAGGGUUUGUGGUCACUUAAAAUUAGAAAACAAAGUGAACAGGAAGAAAAAUACUCACCUUUCGGCAUCAGUGAUGGGUUCUGAUACGGCAGCGAUGGCGACCAAUCUCUUUUUUCGGUGACUAGUUCACUUUCAUGCCGCCCCUCUUCUUCUUCUCUGAUUUUCCUUAGCAGCUAGGUUUUUGAUGGUCUAGGUAGAGAGGUUUAAAUAUCUCUCCACUUUUGAUCUGGGCCGUCUAUUUGAGGCUGCGUGACCCAAUCUCUACUGCCAAAUCUAUCUUAUUUAGGAAACAAAUCAGAGCCAUCCAAUUGGAGGUAUGUGGACCGUUCGACCACGCUUGAAGGGGAAAUAUAUCUUGCUCAUUUGUGCAUGCGGGUAUGAAUCUGGACUAUUGGAUCGGUUGGUACACAGAUUGCCUGCAUGGCCUCUCGCGUUGAAUGCAUAUCCAUGUGUCUGCCACGAGGCGUAGGACUACUGGCCGUGCUGCUGACGUGGCCGUCCCAUGUGGCCAUUUUUCUCCUUUUUUGCACUUUUGUCCCAAUUUUUAAAUUUGUAUUUUCAAAUAAGUCAUUCCUUAUU
rnacentral:lncRNA from 1 species